UGCCCCCUCCCCCCGCAGUGCAGGUGCCCCCCCCGCUGGUGAACGUGCGCGUGCACCACCCCCCCGAGGCCUCGGUCCAGGUUCACCGGUUGGAGCCACGCCCCGGCCCCGCCCCUGGCCCCGCCCCCGGCCCCGCCCCCGCGCUGCUGCCGCACCCCUCCCCCCCCCGGCCCCGCACCCACAAACCCCUGGGGCGCUGCUUCCAGGAGACCCUGCCCAAGCACUCGUGCGGCAGCAACCCCCUGCCGGGGCUGACGAAGCAGGAGGAUUGCUGCGGGAGCAUCGGCACCGCCUGGGGCCAGAGCAAGUGCCACAAGUGCCCCCCCCUGCAGCCCUCGGGGGUGCAGAAGCCGGGCCCGGUGCGGGGGGAGCUCGGUGGGGACUGCCCCCAGGGCUACAAGCGCCUCAACAGCAGCCACUGCCAGGGUAG